UGUUUGGUUGGUUUUUUGUUUUAUUUUGUUUUUUGUUUUUUUUUUUUUUUCCAAUAUUUCCUGCAAUGUCCCUGUGUAGCCCUGGCUGGCUUUGAACUGAUUCUCCUGCCUCUGGCCUUGCUUGUGCUGCGAUGAUGGGCUAUGAUUGUCCUUCUGAUGUCCUGACCAACCCUUCCACAGAGGAGAAUUAUACAGAAAUGUUACUACAAGGAAGUAGGGCUCGUUUGGACCCGUCUUGGAAGUCACCCACCCAGAGCACUCAGAUAUAUUUUCCGAGAAGUGAUGGACUGCUCUGAUGAGUCGUAAGCACUGUGAACUCGGUCCACUCCGUCUCAUCUACCAUGAGAACCUCGGUAUCUAGCAAUGCCAAAUACUUUAUAACAUUAGUGCUUUCAUUCCGGGGGACUGUAGAUGAAAGUAUUCUACUUUUAUUGUAUCUCAACUCUUAAUAUGGGUAUUGUAAAAUGACUAUGAAAUUAAGUAAUUUUAGAACCACAGAGAACAUGUGUUACUAAAGCUCUCCCACAGGGUCACCCCCAAGCAAAAUCAAGGAGCUAAGAAAGUUUCUUACUUCUCACACGCCCCUGCAUCCCUCCCCUGCUCCAUUGCCCUGUGUGUGCACUAUUCAGCUCAAUAAGGAGGGACACUUGUCAUGCAGGGUGUACUUUUACAUACCUUGAAAGUGCCACUUGGAGAUAAUGAUCAUGUACAAAUGAAUAUCUCAUUCAAAGUUAAUAAAAGCAAAAAAAAAAAGAGUCCCCCUUACUUUAAAUAUAUACAUCACUAAAACUUUGUUUGAAUAUCUGGUAAAAUUGUUUUCUAGUAAGGAGCUGAGGUGUAUGAAAAUCCUCGAGGCUAGAAUAUCUGUUGUGGAAAGAUUAUUGGGUAUCUAGAUACCCCUGAGGGCAGAGAUUACCAUGCCUCAACAUCAACUCACCUGAAGAGCGUAUGUACUGAGUGGAAGGACAAUCAGAGCAUGCUUGUGCGUUUACCUCAUGUUUCCUGAGCACUUCCUUAGUGCCAGACUUGGUUAGUGAUGUUGACCUAUCUAUACCUCUUGGGGUUUGCUCAAAUAUCUUCAUUUCAAUGAAAGUUAGACUGACACCAUACUAAAACCUGUAGUGAGAUAUUGGAGUAAACUAAAGUCCAAGCAGCUGGGCACACAUGUGAGGAAUUUCUAAAAGCAGAUCAUUUGAGAUGAAAAGACGAGACCCGCCCUAAAUCCGGACCAUGCCUCUGGUGGCCGCCUGUAUGAAA
rnacentral:lncRNA from 1 species